CUUACUCAGUUAUGCCUCGGCGUAAGCUCCGUACGGGGCUGCUGGGUGCGUUGCGGGCGACAG
rnacentral:rRNA from 1 species